AUGGAAACUUCUGGUUCUGGAAGGAAAACAUCCAUGAAAGCCUGAUUUUCUGCAGAAGAUGAAGUUUUGAGUAACAUGCCAAAAAGACAGAGGUGAGGCUGACAGUAAAAUCAGUUGCCUGGGCAAAAGCAAGAGAUAUACACAUGAGCAAACCGGAACAAUGAAAAGAGUUGGAUAAAAACUCUGACAAACCAUAUGCUAAAAAUUAUGCAAGGCCUUUAUCUUGAAAUUCUGCUCUGCAACAAACACCCUAAGUGGAAAUUGAUCCAGAUAAGGAAGUGGGGACAUCAGCAGCUUAAUAGAUCCAGACACCUAAUUGAGUUACCUGUCUUUGUCUAAAGUGAAGGAGAAAUAUAAGAAAGCCAUGGUUUUCAGUGCAUAGUUAUUCAACAAGAACAAUUUGGCCUACCACAUAGAUACCUUCAAGCUUGUUCUUGAAGAACAGGAUGAACAGAUGGUGGAAUUUUAUAGAGAUAAUGAAGAAUGAUCAAAGAAGUUAGAAAGACAGAAACAUAUGUGUAGUGCACUGCAGCAUACAGUGGAUAAACUUAAACCCUUUGACAAAGGGAUGAACUUAUUGUAAACAUUGCUUAGUUAUAAUUCCCAAUGGCACUUGCAGUGGUGAUGUCAAUCAUGAGUCAGUGGUUGAAGCCAUUACUGUUGUGACUCAGGAAGCUGCUCAUGUCUUGGGGUCAGCAGGAAAGGGGCCAUAUAAAGAUACAAAAACUUGCUGGAGUAAAGGAAGAGCUACCAUCACAGUUUAGGAAACUGAAGUUGCAGUAAGAGAAACAAUAGCAGGAGUCCUCCAGGGAUGAUGGUACAGCAGGUGACCUGGUGCAGCUGCAGAAAGACUCAGAUUUGCAGUUCAUCAAAAUACAGACAUAUGCCAAUAGGCAAAGUAGUGAAAGUUGCAGGUGAACUUAAAGUAAGAAAGGGUAAAGUACAAUGAGGUUUAUAAACAGCACUGGACAAGAUUGAGGAGAUGGAGAUGACCCACAGCCACCUGAACAAGUGUCUAGAGAAGGUGAAGGUCAAUAGGAAGGCACUUGUGGCCCAGCAAUAG
rnacentral:lncRNA from 1 species